UGCAAGUCGAGCGAUGGAUUAAGAGCUUGCUCUUAUGAAGUUAGCGGCGGACGGGUGAGUAACACGUGGGUAACCUGCCCAUAAGACUGGGAUAACUCCGGGAAACCGGGGCUAAUACCGGAUAACAUUUUGAACCGCAUGGUUCGAAAUUGAAAGGCGGCUUCGGCUGUCACUUAUGGAUGGACCCGCGUCGCAUUAGCUAGUUGGUGAGGUAACGGCUCACCAAGGCAACGAUGCGUACCCGACCUGAGAGGGUGAUCGGCCACACUGGGACUGAGACACGGCCCAGACUCCUACGGGAGGCAGCAAUAGGGAAUCUUCCGCAAUGGACGAAAGUCUGACGGAGCAACGCCGCGUGAGUGAUGAAGGCUUUCGGGUCGUAAAACUCUGUUGUUAGGGAAGAACAAGUGCUAGUUGAAUAAGCUGGCACCUUGACGGUACCUAACCAGAAAGCCACGGCUAACUACGUGCCAGCAGCCGCGGUAAUACGUAGGUGGCAAGCGUUAUCCGGAAUUAUUGGGCGUAAAGCGCGCGCAGGUGGUUUCUUAAGUCUGAUGUGAAAGCCCACGGCUCAACCGUGGAGGGUCAUUGGAAACUGGGAGACUUGAGUGCAAAAGAGGAAAGUGAAAUUCCAUGUGUAACGGUGAAAUGCGUAAGAUAUGGAGGAACACCAGUGGCGAAGGCGACUUUCUGGUCUGUAACUGACACUGAGGCGCAAAGCGUGGGGAGC
rnacentral:rRNA from 1 species